CUCUGUCUGUCAAAUAAAUAAAUAAACAAAAUCUUAAAAAAAGAAAAGAAAACUCUAGGUUGGGAGAUUUAGCUUUCCCUAAGUAGCCUAUUUCAAUGUUUCGCAAGAACAUUGAAAGGGAAUGUUCUGAGGGAAUCUCUUUCUACAACCUAAAUCCAGCAUGUGGCUGCUUGUGCCAAUUCUCCAGAAGCUGGAGGACAUCUGAUGACCACAUCUGUGUUAAAACCCUUCCUGUCCUCACAACUGGUGGUUGUGAAUGAGCAAAAUAAAUUAAUCUAAAAUGAAUGACAUUGUAACAUAUUUUUUGAGAACCUUUCAUGUCUGUGAGAUGGAAGAGUAGUUCUACAUGGAAUGUCCAUUUAUCUUCCGUGAAAAGUCUUGUGCAACUGAAUGAAGCAGAAAAUAGGUUCAGAAGUCUCCAUUGGGAAGACAACAGAGCUGUGUGUUACCUUUCCGAAGGUAGUAAAUUUUGGGGGGUGAUUCAGUUAACUUUCAUCAUUUUGAAACCCUUAAUAAAAAGGAUUUCCAUCACCGUUGCGGAGUGUCCUGAAGAAAUCUAGAGAACUAGCAUAAGAAACCCUAAAGCAUAUACAAUGUGUACUACUGUGUAACUCAGAGCAAAACAGAAACAAGUUAAUAGCAUUUCACAUUUUAAGUAAAACCCAAUAAUGUUUUUAAAACACCUGAGAUCUGCUAGUGACAAGGCCCUUCAAGGAAGGCAGGACUGGCCACCAAUAUAAUGUUCACAAUACAACAAAUUUGUACUGUGUCGAGAAGCAUCUCCAGUGGGAGUUCUACAUUCUUCCUGUAUCGGGAAGAUGUCCCACUGUACGGCGCUGGCUGCUCCUGUCCCCUCCCCGAAAGUUGCUUGGUUCUGCUGCAAAGAUUUCCAAAGCUUUUUUUAUUGGCAGCUUAGGACGCAUGCGUGACCUUACCAAAGUGGAAGUGAAAGCUCUCAGUUUUUCUUUUUUCUUCCUUUUUUUUUUUUUGCAACAGUAAAUCUAUUAAUUUUACAGUCAGUUGAACAGCAAUAGAUUAAUUUGUGUAAAGUCUGUGUUCACAAAGAAAACCUGAACUGCAGGGGCUUGAAUGCUUGAAACCACAGCGUGGUGGCUGAAGGCUGGCCACUCUUACAGCUUGCUGGGGAAGGAUGAAGGCAGUCCCUUGUCACCUGCUUCUGUGCACAGGUGCUGACCCCUCGGUCGAUCCAGGGCCUCCUGGCGGGGUAGCAGGAAGGCUGGGCCUUUUGUGUGCUACAGAGAACGCUUUUCCAAGGACUGGGCCCGUUUUCUCCAGCAGCCACAGGAAGCAGAAGAAAGAAGAGGUUAAGGGCCACCACAAGGGUCAGAAUGGGUUAAAUUUAGUUAACAUCAGAGGUUAUAGCUUUUAACAACAGCUUCAAGAAAACUUAUUCGAAGAUGCAAUUUGUUUCUUCUUUGUCAACUGUUAUUUUUUUUUUCCCCUAUUGAUAGUGACAGCUUAACAAAGUUGUUAUAUGCUGGAGGUUUUCAUCCUUUAGAGAAUAAAGGAUUGUGUUCCUAAAAAGAGGUGCAGGUGGAGGACGUUAUAAAGCUUCCAUGAUUUUCGAAUUGGGAGCUUUAAAAUAGACUCCCUGCUUGGCUAAGUCAAAAAUAAUCUGUGAGGGAUGCGGGGGGAAAAAAAUCUCCACUAGAAAUGGAGGAAUGCUUCAGCAGUCAGAUGCAGGGGCUCAGAUUUCUAGAAGUUUCUUUGUGUGUAUUUUACUUUCAACCACCAGUUGUUUUUCAAAAUGACCAAAGAGGCCCCCUCUUGGGUUUCCAUACAUGUGUUUCUCUAAAUUUAGAACUUAGUACUGGGCAUAACUAGUUGUGUAUUGUUUCUCUAUUUGAGAAAAAAAACAUGGCUGUAGAUUUCUGCAUAUGUCCUUCACGCUCUGCUUAUUCUAGUAUCCAUAUUUUCUGUUCAAGGGCCCAACUCUUGGUCUUUGGAAAGAGAGUCAGGUCAGCUUUAGCCUCUCAAUUGGAAACUCACACUUCUCGAUAGGUAUGAUUUACCUAGAACUGAUGUUGAGUGUCUUGCUGAUCAUAGGAAGGCUUCAGCCGCAUUUCUAAGAUAAAUACACGGCUUGACUUUUUUUGAAAGAGUUUUAUACAUUCACAUUGAUGAGGUUUUAGAAUGCUGAACCUGGGUUUCCUGAGCAAUGGUUUCUAUCUGACAGUCAGAAGUGUGAGUGUAAUCUACACAUCUAAGUGCUAUAUGAUACUGUGCAUUUGACAACAUGUUUGCUUCAGAUACAAUGAAGACUCAUGUAAUUAUUAUUUGGGAAAUAAGAUGUUUUGUCUAAGAGAAUCCUCCAGAUGCCUAUACAUACCUCUCAACACAAAGUGUCUUACCGUUUUGAGCAAAAGUAUUUUAAAUAACUUAUUACAAAGCAUUGCAUUCUGAAACAUGGUAUAGUGAGUUUUUUUUAAGAGCGAGGGCAUCGUUAUGACUAUACAUUAUUAUACGGUGCUAUGUGAUAUAGUCAUACCUGUAUCAAAUACCACUGUCCAAAAUGCACUGUUUUUUUGAAUUUGUAAUUUCUACUCAUCAUAGGUUUUCUUACUUUUCUCUCACCAUUAUACUGCUAACUUCCCCUUCUUGUUGCUAUAGUCACUUACCUAGCUUUAUAUUUCUCCCCACUUUCUAACAUUCUGCUCAAAGUCAAGUUCAGUCUCACCUGGCCUAAUGCAAGGGUUGCUUAGGGGACUUCUACCCUCCAUCUGUCCUUAUUCCAAAUCAGCCCUCACAGCACAGCCAGGCUAACCUUAUUUUAGGAAAGCUCCACCCACACACUUUCCUUGUGACGGUUUCCUCGUCCCACCUGCUGACUUGGAUUGUGAGGUUCCACUCUAGCAUUUACUACCCUCACCCUCUGCAUGGAUCUAAAACCUACUGGGGUUGGCAAGUGAGUCAGUUUGCUUGCUCUGCCCAGGGCCCUUCCUCAGCCCCCCAAAGGGGAGCUUUGCAGAACAAAAGUCCUGUCCUCAUUCCUUCUUCCUGUUCAACAGCUGGUUGGACCAGAGGAGAAGACUGCCCUGCAGGAGUCCAGUCCACAGACUGUGACAACUUGCAUAUUCUGACUGGGACAUUUGCUGGAUGUCAAAUGCGGCAGGAGAUACUAAUUGGAUAUUCAUUCUGCUCUUUCCCAGGUUUUAGCUGGGCACAAAGUUGCACAGAGUAAGGACAGUGUGUGUAGCCUCCCCAACAAAUAGGUGUGGCCACGUGACCAAGUUCUGGCCAGUGGAAUAUAUGUAUACCUACUCCCAUGUGACUUAUCCCAUAGUCCCGAGGAGUCCUCGUUUAUGCCUGUUAUCCCAGUAUAAUUAUUAAUAACAUCCUUUUCACUCUUUCAUGGCAUAUCACAUGGCCACACUAAAAAAAUAAGCUGUGGUAUGUGCACCUUCCAGGAUGUUCUCUUAGAAGGAGAGUGUGCUCUUCCUCUCCUUCCUGCUUUCUGCCAGCUGAAAGGUGGACAGGAUGGCUGGAGCUUGGUUGGCAUCCUGGAGCAUGAGGGGCUCCUGGAAUGGAAAGCGUGCAUGGCAGAGCAAUGAGAUAGAAGGAACCUGGGCCCUUAUACGCCAGCACAUGGUGCUUCUAGAUUUACUGAUUGUACGAGAGAAACAAGCUCUUAUAUUGCAGCUGAACCUACCCCUGAAACAUGUCACUCAAACAAAAAGUCAUAUAAAGUUGUUUAUUUUAUGAUUCAGGCCAGUGACGCACACUGGAGUUUUCAUGCAGCUGAGCUGGUCUGCAGAGAGAGGCAGGAGAAUAAAACAGACAUGCGGAAAGAACUAUGCAGAAAAAUAGGAGAUUGUGGGGCUUGGUGAAAAACGGGGUAGAAGCUUUCAUGUCUAACUUUCUGAUUCCAGUCUCCAUGGAGUCCACUGGUCUGCAUUUCCUACCUGUACAUACCUCUUAGGUGGAUUUUCUCACAACACCUUUCUAUCAGUGCCACCAAACAUCAUUAUAGCUCUAACUCUCUCUUCUUCCGCCACUGCCAAGAAGCUAAAUGACUACCUGCUGUUCCCUAACCAUAUUUUGUGCUGUUCUGUUUUUGCCCUACCUUUUGCCUGGAACAGAGCCAUCUUUCCAGCCCUAGCCCAAAUGCCACCUCUUCUAUGAAGCUUUCCCAUACUUAGUCUAACUGGGUGAAUUUCUCCCUUUUUCUGACCCCUGUCAUUUUAUAUAUGUUUAUUCUGUGGCUUUUCUCUUUCCUCUGCCUCCCAAUAUAGUUGCCUGAAUACUUGGCAUGUCCUGCCUUCUGCAUUGCCAGCCCCUUAGAGGGAGGGACUGUACACUUGCCAGUUUGGUUCUAGCAACAAACUGCAUACCUUUAGUGUACAUUAAGUAUUUGCUGAAGAGUUGUGGGCUAUAGAGUACACAGCUAAGCCUUUUCUAAUGGUCUCUGAAAUAAGAGAAAGUGAACUCUCUUGGUUGAAGUACAUGAGGUUUCGGGUAAGACUUUGUAUGUUGUAGAGGCUUCCCUUACUGUUUUUUUUUUCUUGCUUUGAGUUGAGAGUGCUUAAUAAGAGACCUCUAGGCAUCUUUUAUUGAAGCAAACUUCCAUGCUAAGUACUAUACUUGUGACUCUCAUGAUUUACAAUUACUGAAUGAGACCUGCAGAGAGUCUAAAAAAUAUACAAAAAAUAUCACAGUCUGUCUCGUAAAGGAGUAAUAACGAGAUCUUUGAUUCCUUUUAUUAAUUACUACAUUAUGGACUCUAUAAUUGCAACCUGCAAGGCCUAUAAUCAUUAUCAUCAUUUUCAAAAAGAUUAUCAAAUGAUCACACAUGUGUAACAUUGGGUUAACCUUGCUACCUCUAAGGCAGGAAGGUCACAGCCCAGUAGAAAAUCCAGUCUAGCCAUUUCUUUAAUGUUCUGUACAUAACUGAUGGAUUUUGUGACUGGCUCAGUCAAAGGUUUGGGUAUUAAUGCUCAGAGGAAAAAAAAACCAAAACCCUGACACCAUAAAAUAGAUCCACAUGUAAUUAUAACUGUAAUUUUAUUAUAGUCUAGAAGGAUGCAUCAUAAAUGCGAGGCAUGCAACAGAGUAAUGGGGGAUAAUGA